rnacentral:rRNA from 1 species
GACGAACGCUGGCGGCGUGCUUAACACAUGCAAGUCGAACGGGAUUUAGUAGACAGAAGCCUCGGCUAAAGAUUACUAAUGAGAGUGGCGAACGGGUGAGUAACGCGUGAGCAACCUGCCUAUGACAGUGGGAUAGCCUCGGGAAACCGGGAUUAAUACCGCAUAAAAUCGUAGAAACACAUGUUUUAACGGUCAAAGAUUUAUCGGUCAUAGAUGGGCUCGCGUCUGAUUAGCUAGUUGGUGAGAUAACAGCCCACCAAGGCGACGAUCAGUAGCCGGUCUGAGAGGAUGAACGGCCACAUUGGAACUGAGACACGGUCCAAACUCCUACGGGAGGCAGCAGUGGGGAAUAUUGCACAAUGGGGGAAACCCUGAUGCAGCGACGCCGCGUGAACGAAGAAGGUAUUCGUAUCGUAAAGUUCUGUCCUAUGGGAAGAUAAUGACAGUACCAGAGAAGAAAGCGCCGGCUAAAUACGUG